rnacentral:lncRNA from 13 species
CUUUUAUCAUUGGAGAAUCACUUUGACACACAGAAAAUAUAACCUGACAAAACCUGAAGAAGUUGACAGGUGACUAAUAAAUUCACAUUUUAUUCUUGGAGACAUUGAAAACUCUGAAAUGCUGAGUGACUUUCCUAAAACCCAGGUCCGGGACUUCAGGAGCUAAAAGUAGAGACCAAUAUUUACUCCAGGAAAUAAUAGUAGGGCCCAGUAUUUACUCCAAGGAUCAGGUUUUCAGGUUAUUAUCCCCCACUAAAGUUGCCAGUUUUUUUUUUUUUUUAAAUUAAACACAGACACAUUAGGGCACAGACAGACAUGUUUUGAAUUUUGGAUCUGAUCUUAAUUUAAAAAUAAGUAUCUUGAAUUUAGUGAUGGCUGAUGGAAGGAGGCCUGUGAAAAAUAGAAAGACUUGUAGGAAGAUGUUGUCAAAGAGGUCCGGAAUCUUAUAAGACAGGGUUCAAGGUCUGUGAGUGGGAUAGCUGAGGUCCCUGAACCCCUUACAGCUGGUGACAAAACUCUUGUAUUUCUCUGUGAGGAGGAUGCAAAAGUUUAUUCUUCAAAGGGAAGUGGAUCCGACUAGCUAAGGCGUGAGUACCUAAAGCGUCCUUCCACCCCUGGGCAGAGGGAAUGUUUCACACUUUCUUGAGGAUCAAGCUAUUGCCUGUGGGCCAAUUUCCUCUUGCAAGCCUCUCCCAGGCCCAGUGAAUGCCAAGGCUUCUAAGGAGGGGUCCUUGCAGCCUGCUGGCAUCCUGUGUAUCGACACUUCUGCUUUCAAGGCAAGCUAAUCUGUUCCUUAAGCUGCUUGGCUGAACUUCUUUGCCAGAUCUGAUAGGAGAAUUUAAUCUUUCCUUUUUCCUUUUUGGCACACACUCAAUGGAAUCCGAAUAAAGAAUUAGGGAGACUUGAAAGGGACUUUCCAUUACCAAACAACUCCGUUUCAAUUUCCGGCCUCUCCUCUACCUUUUUUUUCCAUUCCCUCCUUUCUUCUUCCUCAACGUUUGGAACUCAAACCUGGCAUAAAAGCUCGCGGGGACAUGUGGAAGGCCAGAGACCAGGAACGUAAAGUGAAGUGGGUGUGCCUGGGAUCAUGCACAGCUAGUGAGUGGAAGAGCCAAGAUUCAAAUCCAUGCAGCCUGGCUCCAGGGCCCACACUGUCAGUCACUCAUCAACACCUUUCCAAGCCAAUUUUCCCUGAAGGCCAGCAGGGAAGGCAAGGAGGCUUGCAACAAGGUGGGGGCCCCAGUCAACCUGGACCCAUCCUGGAGGGCUUGCCUGUCAGAGAUACGUGUUUAAUGACGAGAAGCACCAUGAAGCUAGCCAAAAGAAGGCCUCAAGAGUCAGAGAUGUCUUGGAUAUUUCUGUAUUUCAACCUUUACUACCCAGACACCCAGACAAGAAAUGAUUAACCUUGGGUGCUGCCUGAUUCCAGAGAUACACCACCAGACCCAUAUGAAUGCUGCCUACACACAAAGAAGCUUGGCCAUUAGACUCAGACUGUCUCUCCCAUCUUGUUCUCCAGGGCCCUGAAUGUAGGCUGAGAAGACAAGCAUGAAACCAAAAGGCUUUGUAUAUAAUGUAUAUUGGUUUCCUAUGGCUACUCUAGCAACUUAACACAAACUUAAUGGCUUAAAACAACACAAAUGUAUUAUCUUACAGUACUUUAGAUCAGAAGUUUGGCAUGGGUUUACCUGGACUAAUAAGCAAGGUAUCUAUGGGGUUACAUUCUGUUCUGAAGGCUCCAUGGGAGAAUCCCUUUCCUUCCCUUUCCCGUCUUUUAGACACUGCCUAUUUUCCUUGGUAUGUGGCCUCAUUUCUUCCAUCUCUCUGACUCUUCUCUAUCUCCAGUCUCUCUCUAACCAUAGACAGGAAAGAUUAAUUACUUUUAAGGACACACUUUCUUAGACCGAAUAAUCCAGGAUAAUGUCAAGCUUCAUACCAUAGUAGACACGUAAAGCCCUUGUUGCCACUGAGUGAAAUAAACUCAGGUUCCAGUGUUAUGGUGUGAAUAUU